AUAGAUAAAAAAAAAUAGUGCGACACUUCAGAAGAAAUGGGAUGGUUAAGUUAUAAGUAUACAUUGCAUUGAACUGAUUGAAAUGGAAAGCGUUUAACAUCAAUUAACCAGCUCUUUCGAUCUUUAACAUCGACUCUUUCUUCGGUGCAUAGCCUAGAUAUAGGCAGUUGUCUUAUUUUACUUUAGGGAACCUGGCUUCGAUUUUUUUUUCUACUCCAAACAUCUUCCGACUCCACCCACUCUACGGCGCUAGAAGGCGACUGCGCAGAGUGAGGUCAGUCAGCCUAACACAACGGCUGGACAUGGAGUAUUCCGAAUAUGGACACCAGGACCACGGUCCGAAGCUUCAAGACUCGAAAGGCAACAUCAUCAUGGAGCACUCCUACAUUCCUCACGGCCCUCCGCCCCCAAAAGUAGAGAAUGUGACGGAAACGGCGGACAUCCCAGGAGAGAUGGCUCACAUGUUGACCCUCGUUGCUUUGUUUAUCUAUGGCUACACACUGAUCGGCUGCUACAUAUUCGAACCGUGCUUCUUCCGUACGCUGGCCUACGUGCUACAAGUCAUUCGGCUCUUCCUACUGUUCGCCUCAUUGCUACCGUGUGUCCUGCACUGGUCAGUGGCUUAACCGAUUGACUUAGAAUUAGUGCUGUCACAAUCAGGGUUAGCGUAAGAAAUUCUGACACAAGAAUGUAACAGAGGUUUUGGCAAGCUUUCCAGUUGUUUCCAAAUAUAACCUCCAAGGAAUUCCCGUUUGUCGUCAUAGUGCUAUUUUUAGGCAAUAUCCUGAUGGCGAAAGGCGUUCAGAAGCUUCUGGGAAUGUUUCUAGAAAAAUUCAACAGCAAUGAGAAGGAUUACGACUGCUGCAGCAGCCCUUGCUCGAGCCAAGUCUUCAGAGGCUGGUUCCCAUGCAAGAGAUUGACCUGGAAGCUAUGCCCGAAAACGGCGUCGCCAAGGUGUCGAAGGCGAAGACGGAGGAGGCCCGCGUGUUCUUGAAAAUGUGUUUGUGUGUGUGUGUGUGUGCACGUGUGCGUGCUUUUAAGUAACUAAUGUUAUACCUACGGCGUCGAUCUAACUGAAAGAGGCAUGGGGGUGAAUAUAGCUUUAAACGAAAACAACAAAAAAAAAAGGUCAAAAUAAAGCUGUCAAUGUGGAAACAAUUGGUAUAGUAGUAUUAUCUAAUACAAAACAAACCUAAUAUUGAACUAAUAAAUGUGUAACAUCAAACCAG